rnacentral:rRNA from 1 species
UGGGGAAUAUUGGACAAUGGGCGCAAGCCUGAUCCAGCCAUGCCGCGUGGGUGAAGAAGGCCUUCGGGUUGUAAAGCCCUUUUGUCCGGAAAGAAAUCCUGUCGGUUAAUACCCGGCGGGGAUGACGGUACCGGAAGAAUAAGCACCGGCUAACUUCGUGCCAGCAGCCGCGGUAAUACGAAGGGUGCAAGCGUUACUCGGAAUUACUGGGCGUAAAGCGUGCGUAGGCGGUUCGUUAAGUCCUAUGUGAAAGCCCUGGGCUCACCCUGGGAACUGCAUUGGAUACUGGCGAGCUAGAGUGCGGUAGAGGAUGGUGGAAUUCCCGGUGUAGCGGUGAAAUGCGUAGAGAUCGGGAGGAACACCAGUGGCGAAGGCGGCCAUCUGGACCAGCACUGACACUGAGGCACGAAAGCGUGGGGAGCAAAC